rnacentral:rRNA from 1 species
UACGUAGGGACCGAGCGUUGUCCGGAUUCAUUGGGCGUAAAGAGCUCGUAGGCGGCUGUUCAAGUCGAACGUGAAAACUCGGAGCUCAACUCCGAGCCUGCGUUCGAUACUGGACGGCUAGAGUCUGGUAGGGGGAUCUGGAAUUCCUGGUGUAGCGGUGGAAUGCGCAGAUAUCAGGAGGAAUACCGAUGGCGAAGGCAGGUCUCUGGGCUAUAACUGACGCUCAUGCACGAAAGCGUGGGGAGCAAACAGG